rnacentral:lncRNA from 1 species
UUUAUAUUCAAAAAUAUCAAAUGCGGAAGCGAGAUCAAAAUCUCAGUUAACAUCCCUUACACGAAAACCAAAAACGUGCUCAAAAUAUAAAAGAUUAAACUAACAAAAAAAAAAAACUCGAAAGUAAAGCUAUGAGUAUGACUAUGGAGUCUCUAGGCAUCCCCUUCGUCGUCCUCCUGCGGAACGGGCUCGGGAACCAUGUCUUCCUGAUCUGAAAUGAUUAAAUAAGGAAUGAGCUACACUAGCCCAGUAAGGACAUCACGAUAUCUCACCGUCACGGAGGUAAAGG